UCACUCGCUUUCACUUCAGUUCCUCUUGACUUAUCUUAAGAUACAUGUAAUAUGUGAAUAUUAAUUUAAUUGGAGCUGGUGAGGGACUUUCCCAAACUAUUAAAACUCAGUGGUAGCUGACUGAGCCGCAGACCAAGCCAGAUACACACAAAAGUAUGAAGGUAAAUGAAGAGCUUUCAGAGUUGAUUAAUGAUAGACUGAUAAUCAAGCUGAUGCAUUGCAGAUGGACCUCUGGAAGCAAGUAAUCCACCAAUUUACACAAAUGUAAUUCUUCGCCAAAUUUUCUGACUAUACAGUAUUACAUUAUUAGAGUAAGUUGGAGCUAUACCGUCCCAGGGCUAUUCUGUCCCCCUGUAUAAACCAAUGGGAAAUUCAUGUGCAGCGGUCGGAAUAGCCCCAGUUAGAGGGUCCUCUUUCUCCAGUUGUAACUUCUUAACUAUAGCAGAUACAGGACUGAAACAAGGAUGUAUCUAUUCAGCAUAAAAUUCUCUAACUACCAACACCAAAAACAGCUUGAUCUUUAUAAAGUGCAGCUAAGCAACUCUGGCUAAAAAUUUGUGUUCAUUAGCUUUUUCACGUAUUAUCACCUAGUGAUAGUGCUUGUAUAUCUCCGGUCACUGCAUAAUUUUUCCGUAUACUACUUAGUAUCUGGAGGGUCGGAAUAGCCCCAACAACUAGGUCAGUGAAAGUACUGUUUUCAUCCAAAGUUUAAGCUGACUUGUUGAUUUCAAGAAAUUACAAAUAGAAUAGACAAAAUAGAACUCAUUGAUGAAUAAAAUAAAUAAAAUAAAGCAAAAAAGAGUGAAUUAUGACUUCGUGAAUAUUUAAUUAGAUCACAGUGCAGAAACUGGUCGGAAUAGCCCUGAGUUACUCUACCUUUAAUUAUAUUGUCUUAUAGUCAAAAUUGUAUGUAUUUUUCUCUGAUUUUUGUU